GCUGCGGGUGCGGCGCUGACCCGGAGGCGGCGGCGGCGGUGCCCGGAUGGAGGCACGUCAUUGUCCCCCGCCGGGCGGCUGGGCUGUGUGCGGCGGCGGCGGCGGCGGCGGCGGCGGCGGCGGCGGCGGCCGAGGGGGAUGGAGCGAGUGCCGAGCCGGGUCAGGGUUGAAAAAUGACCAUAGUUGACAAAACUGAACCUUCAGACCCAUCAACCUGUCAGAACCAGCCUGGCAGUUCUGAGGCGGUCUCACCUGAAGACAUGGACACAGGCUCUGCCAGCUGGGGUGCUGUGUCUUCAAUAAGUGAUGUUUCAAAUCAUACACUUUCUUUAGGGCCAGUGCCUGGUGCUGUAGUUUAUUCCAAUUCAUCUGUACCUGAUAAAUCAAAGCCAUCACCCCCAAAGGAUCAAGUCCUAGGUGAUGGCAUUGCUCCUCCUCAAAAGGUUCUGUUUCCAUCUGAAAAGAUUUGUCUUAAGUGGCAACAAUCUCAUCGAGUUGGCGCUGGGCUCCAGAAUCUGGGCAAUACCUGUUUCGCCAAUGCUGCACUGCAGUGUCUGACCUACACACCACCCCUCGCCAAUUACAUGUUAUCUCAUGAGCACUCCAAGACAUGCCACGCAGAAGGAUUUUGUAUGAUGUGCAUAAUGCAAACACACAUUACCCAGGCACUCAGCAACCCUGGAGACGUUAUCAAGCCGAUGUUCGUCAUCAAUGAAAUGCGACGUAUAGCUAGACACUUCCGUUUUGGAAACCAAGAAGAUGCCCAUGAAUUUCUUCAGUACACAGUUGAUGCCAUGCAGAAAGCAUGUUUAAAUGGCAGCAAUAAAUUGGACAGACACACCCAAGCUACCACCCUAGUUUGCCAGAUAUUUGGAGGAUACCUAAGAUCGCGAGUCAAAUGUUUAAAUUGCAAGGGUGUUUCAGAUACUUUUGAUCCAUAUCUGGACAUAACAUUGGAGAUUAAGGCUGCUCAGAGUGUUACCAAGGCAUUGGAGCAGUUUGUGAAGCCAGAACAACUGGAUGGAGAAAACUCGUACAAAUGCAGCAAGUGUAAAAAAAUGGUUCCAGCUUCAAAGAGAUUCACCAUCCAUAGGUCCUCUAAUGUUCUCACCAUUUCACUGAAGCGCUUUGCCAACUUCACUGGCGGGAAAAUUGCUAAGGAUGUAAAAUAUCCUGAGUACCUUGAUAUUCGGCCCUAUAUGUCUCAGCCCAACGGAGAGCCAAUUAUUUAUGUUUUGUAUGCUGUGCUGGUACACACUGGUUUUAACUGUCAUGCUGGCCACUACUUUUGCUACAUAAAGGCUAGCAAUGGUCUUUGGUAUCAGAUGAAUGACUCCAUCGUGUCCACCAGUGAUAUUAGAUCGGUGCUUAACCAGCAAGCUUAUGUGCUCUUUUAUAUCAGGUCACAUGAUGUGAAAAAUGGAGGGGAACCUGCUCAUCCCACCCAUAGUCCUGGCCAGUCCUCUCCCCGUCCAGGAAUCAGUCAGCGGGUCGUCAACAACAAGCAGGCAGCACCAGGGUUUAUUGGACCCCAGCUACCUUCCCAUGUCAUGAAGACUACACCACACUUGAAUGGCACCACGCCAGUGAAAGACACGCCAAGUAGUUCGAUGUCAAGCCCUAACGGAAACACCAGCGUCAAUAGGGCCAGUCCUGUUAAUGCCUCAACUUCUGUGCAAAACUGGUCUGUCAGCAGGCCCUCAGUUGUUCCAGAGCACCCCAAGAAACAAAAAAUUACCAUCAGUAUUCACAACAAGUUGCCUGUUCGCCAGGGUCAGGCACAGCUGAAUAACAACCUCCAUGGCCCUUUGCUGGAGGCCCCUAGCAAGGCAACACCCUCCUCUACCAUCACUAACCCUUCUGCAAUACAGUCUACCUCGAACGCAUCCAUGACAUCUGUUUCCAAUAAAGUAGCAAAAGCAGUUUCCCCCAGUGAACCCUGUUCUAAGCCCAUGGUGAACGGCAAGGCUAAGGUGAGCUCCAGUGUGCUGGUCCCCUAUGGGGCUGAGUCCUCAGAAGAGUCCGAUGAGGAGUCGAAGGGCCUGGCCCAGGAGAAUGGUGUAGACAUGAUGGCCAGCACUCCCUGUGCCAGGCCAGAAGCUAAAGACGAGGACGGUGAGGCUUCCCCUCAUGAGCUACAAGAAUCUGUCACGCUAAAUGGUGCUAAUAGCGCAGGCAGCGACUUGAGAGAGAACGGCCUAGCAUUUGACAGUGCCAGCUGUCAGGUCCAGCCCGAUAUACAUACAGAAAACCUCUUUUCCAAACUUAACGGUCUUCCUGGAAAGGUGACGCCUGCUCCUUUACAGUCUGUUCCUGAAGACAAAGUCCUCGAGACCUUCAAGCUUACCAACCAGGCAAAGGGCCCAUCGGGUGAAGAGAGUUGGACUACAACAGGGGAAAGCCCCCCGAAGGACCCUGUGCCACAGCUGGAGCCCAGCCCUGAUGAGAAUGGUUCUCUUGAGACAUCAGAGGCAGUUACCAAUGGGAGCAUGAAGACCCCUACAACCAUGUCACCCCAGGAGCCCACCAUCAACUGUACCAAAGAAGACUCCUCUAUUGUCUCAGCUAUCUCAGCUAGCCCUGUGGAGGUUCUGCCCUCCAUCACUGCUCCUUGUAACACCACCGGUACUACCUUGGGGGAUACCCCACUGCCCGAAUUGUGUGACCCUGAUGACUUGACUACCAACCCGAGCCAGCCACCCCAAGCAGCGAAAGGGGAAAUAGCUGAGAACCCGCAGGACUCCACUUUGGCUGAAGCGGUGGAGAGACUGAGUCCGGCUCCCUCAGUACUCACAGGCGAGGGCUGUGAGCAGAAACUCUUCCUUUACCUCAGCACAGAGGUGUCUGAGGAGGCCGAAGAUUCAUCUAGAAGCUCGGGGGUCUCUGCAGACACAGUUCCCCCUCCUCAGCCUGACUGGACCACCAGCUCUUGUGAAGGGGUUGCUGAGCAGGUUCCCGGGGAGAGAGGUGAUGGAAGCAAGGUGGGACCCAAAGUUGAGGAGCCUUCCCCAGCUAAGGCACAGGUGAGCAGCCUCCGGAAAGUGGGUCGCGGACACUAUCGGAGCCGGAGAGAGCGCUCCUCCAGUGGGGAGCACGGGAGGGACUGCAGGGCCCGGACGGAGGACCACCACCAUAAGAAGCGACGCUGCUACAGUCGAGAGAGGUCCAAGCAGGAGCGCCACCCCAUUAAUACGUACUGCAAUGGGGGCCAGCACCUGGGCCAUGGUGACAGAGACAGCCCUGAGCACCGCUCCCUAAGCAGAUACAGCCACCAUCAUUCACGGGUUAGGAAUGGCUCAGAGCAGGACUGGAGCCGGUACCACCAUUCGGAAAAUGAGCAUGCCUGGGUCAGGGAGAGAUUCUACCCAGACAAGAUGAGGUGGGACAAAUGCAGGUAUUACCACGACAGGUACACCCCAUACACGGCCCGAGAGUGGCGGCCUCUGCGUAGUCGUGAGCAUGAACGCACUGCUCAGCUUGGGCGUCCACACAAAGACAGCUACUGGGGCCGGAAAGGCUGGGAGCCACAACCUCGGGGGAAGGAACGGCCCCACUUCCAUAGCUCACGAGAGGCCUCAGGCCUUGCCCUGUCCAUCGAGAGGCAUCCCCAAGAGAAGGCCACGCUGGCUGUGCAGGACAGCAACCACAGCUUCCCUGAUCGCUUUCACGAACACGAAAGUGUCAAGUCAAGGAAACGGAGGUAUGAGACUACAGAAAAUGAUAGCCGCCUAGAAAAAAAAGCCCACAAAAAUCUGGAGAAGGACGCUUCAGAAGAGCCAAGGGCGAAGAAGCACAAGAAAUCUAAGAAGAAAAAGAAGUCCAAAGAUAAACACCGGGAUCGAGAUGCCAGGCAUCAGCAAGAAUCCGAUUUUUCGGGAGCAUACUCUGAUGCUGACCUCCAUAGACAUCGGAAGAAGAAGAAGAAAAAGAAAAGACAUUCAAGGAAGUCAGAGGACUUUAUGAAAGAUGUUGAGAUUCAUUUACCGAAGCCCUUGAGCUAUGAGGCUGUCGGCCAUUUCCGGAGAACAGAGGGCACCUUCCUGCUGGCCAAUGGCCUGCCUCUGGAAGACAGUGGCUCUUUCCGGGAGAAAUCUAAGCAUUUAAGGAUGGAAAGCCGGCCUGACAGAUGUCAUCUGUCAGAGUAUGGCCAGGGUAAGAAGACUGGGAAUUAAGGACACAGCUCUUUGAGUAACGUGUUUGGGAAAGGUAAUGAACACAGAAAUGUAAGGGGCACAGAAUGUUAUGAGUUGACUCAAGAUGCCCUACAACAAGAUCCUCCCUAUGAGCAGAGGUAUGGUGUGACCUCUGUUGAAGGCCUGAGUUGCAUGGAGCUGGGCCCAGUGUAACCUGUGUGCUCAGACUCCUGGAACUUAGAGUCUGUAUGUGUCACACAGUAGAGCUUUGGCUUUUAAAGUAUUCUAUGCUUGUGUAUGUUUGUAUGCGCCUACUUGUACAUCUGUGUGUAUUGUGUUAACUUCUGAACCCCUAAAGGCCCUAGUGUACUCCAGUUGCUAAGUCAUAACUCAGUAGUGUGGUCUCUAGAGACGUAUCUUUCUUGUGGGGCUAUGGUACCCUCCAGGUGCCGUUUUCUGAGGUGAUUCUUGCUGGAUCCUUGUAGUUCAGGGUGAGUUCCCCUCCCCCACCUGAGUGCCAGUGUGUGUGGAUGCCCCUUUCUCUUCCUACCAUUUUUUAAUGAGCUUUUCCUUUAGAUAGCAUUUGGCUUGUAAAAAAAACGUAUGGGAUAGGAAUGUCAGUGGGGCCAGAGCAGAGGCUGGAAAACUGUAGCCCUGUGGCUACAGCCUAACCUGCAAUUCAGAGUGGCUCUAACUAGUACUGAGUAUAGUAGUAUUUGUUCAAGUGAAGCACUGUGUGGAAUCAGGUUUUGGUUCAGUAGACUUUAGCUGAAGUCCAUGUGUUGUGUUGUGCUGUUUUGAACCACUCAGUAGAGGUAAGACAUGGCCUGUCCCAUUGAAAUGAUUUUCAUCAUCUGGCCCUUGACAUAAAAAGCUUGUCAUUUCUGCCCCAGACACCCAAAGAUCAUGGUCAUGAAUAAAAGGCGUGUGUGUUGCUACAGAUGUGUUGGCCCUGAGUGGAACCUUUUGCUCUUUGGCAGUCCACACAUCAGGUGGUCUCAAACUAGUGGCUUGUUUGCAGCUACUCUGCACCCACACUUCUCUUCUGAACACCACUGACCCCUUCUUGUAAACUCCAGUUCUUCCUCCAGCCCUCUGAGCUGACAUCUGUUCAUCCUCACAUAAGAAUGUGCAGCUGUAUGCUGGGGCAGACCUGGUCCUUGGGCGUGGCUCUUGAACAUCCUCUGUUGGGAGUUCUUUGUAGCACUGCCAAGCCAGUGUCUGCUUGCUCAUCCUGUGGGAGUGAACUUUUCCUGCAGUUGAGUCUUCAGGUACACACUCGUUAAACUGUUUCCUCACUUUGCCUUCCAGGUGAUUAACGCCCCAGCCUCAUAACAAAAAAAAAAAAAAAAAAAGAUUAUGAUUCAACAUCUUCAACAGAAGCCAUCCCCAACCCAGCUUAAAUUAUAAACAUAGAAAAUAACUUUGUCCAAACUGCGUGGUGCUUCUUUAGUAAAUACUGUACAGACUUUACCAUGGACAACUUUUUUUUUUCAGUUUUUACCUUUUCUUAAUUGCCCUUAUUCCAAAUGGAUUCUUUGUACACUGCUGAAUAUUGUAAAUUACCGUGUACAUAAAACCACACUGAAAAUAAUGCCCUGGAAUAGACCAUCUCAGAUGCUGCUUAACUACAGACUCAGGUUGACUACUUGUAUUCCAUGUAAUGUUCCUCCAAGCUAGACAUCUGGUGCACGGCCAACGGGAACCAUGAACUUCAAAAGGACAAAACGACAGUGCGUCUAUUUAAUUUAAAGACUUAUUUAAAGACCCAAGCUCUCAUCCAGACCUUCGAGGGCUUCCUCUGCAAUGUCUGAUACUAGAAACUAAUUUGCUUCACAUUUUAGUUGUAUUCAAGAUUUGAAGAUGUAUUUUAUAGACAAGUUCUGUUUUUGAACUUUGUGGAACUAUUCCAAUCAAUUUACCAGUUAUGAUGAGUAUUUGCAUUAUGAAUGUAUAAUCCAGACAUUAUUUGUAAAGCCUACAGUAUGUUUUUAUUACCUUAACACUUUUUAUACUGUGUCUCGUCUCGACAAUAUGAUAUUGGAGUCUGAGUCGUCAGCUUGAUCCCUUCAAGUUUCUAGUUACAGACAAAAAUCAUACUGUGAUUUUAUUUUUAAUAUGGAUAUGCUAUCAAACUGUGAUACACUUAUAAUUCACUGGUCCUGCAUCAGGAGACGGGAGUGGGGAAAGACUGUAUUUAAUACAGUGUGUAUCUGAAUAAUCUGUAUGAUUUAUACAGUUUGUGUUGUUCAGAGAUGUCUAAAGUUGAUCUUUGUUUUUUUUUUAAGAUUAAAAAAGCACUUGCCCCACUGUA